UACGAAGGGUGCAAGCGUUACUCGGAAUUACUGGGCGUAAAGCGUGCGUAGGUGGUGAGUUAAGUCUGAUGUGAAAUCCCCGGGCUCAACCUGGGAAUGGCAUUGGAUACUGGCUCGCUAGAGUGCGGUAGAGGGUGGUGGAAUUCCCGGUGUAGCAGUGAAAUGCGUAGAGAUCGGGAGGAACAUCUGUGGCGAAGGCGGCCACCUGGACCAACACUGACACUGAGGCACGGAAGUGUGGGGAGCAAACAGG
rnacentral:rRNA from 1 species